UACGAAGGGGGCUAGCGUUGCUCGGAAUCACUGGGCGUAAAGGGUGCGUAGGCGGGUCUUUAAGUCAGGGGUGAAAUCCUGGAGCUCAACUCCAGAACUGCCUUUGAUACUGAAGAUCUUGAGUUCGGGAGAGGUGAGUGGAACUGCGAGUGUAGAGGUGAAAUUCGUAGAUAUUCGCAAGAACACCAGUGGCGAAGGCGGCUCACUGGCCCGAUACUGACGCUGAGGCACGAAAGCGUGGGGGAGCAAACA
rnacentral:rRNA from 1 species